rnacentral:RNase_P_RNA from 1 species
CAGGUGCAACAGGUAGUUGCUGGUGACAUCUUUGUCACGAGAGGAAAGUCCGGGCUGCAAGCAAAGCAGGGCUCCAUCUAACAGAUGGCCAGAGUAAUCUGAGGGCAAGUGCAACAGAGAGUAUGAAAACCAUGUUUAUGUGGUAAAAGGUGAAAGGGUGGGGUAAGAGCCCACCAGUGCUUAUGGUAACAUAGGCAGCUAGGUAAACCCUGUCCGCAGCAAGAAGUAUAUGGUAUAAGCUUUGCAAGCUGUUGACUCAGCACACAUACUUCGCUCGAGCGUAGUGGCAACACUACGCCUAGAUAAAUAACUACCCACGACAAAACCCGGCUUAUCGUUGCACCUUUUUC